GAUGAACGCUGGCGGCGUGCCUAAUACAUGCAAGUCGAGCGAACAGACGAGGAGCUUGCUCCUCUGACGUUAGCGGCGGACGGGUGAGUAACACGUGGAUAACCUACCUAUAAGACUGGGAUAACUUCGGGAAACCGGAGCUAAUACCGGAUAAUAUAUUGAACCGCAUGGUUCAAUAGUGAAAUACGGUUUUGCUGUCACUUAUAGCUGGAUCCGCGCCGCAUUAGCUAGUUGGUAAGGUAACUGCUUACCAAGGCAACGAUGCGUAGCCGACCCGAGAGGGAGGCUGGCCACCUUGGAAGUGAGAAUGAGUACAGACUCUUACGGGGGGAAGCAGUAGGGAAUCUUACGCAAUGGGCGAAAGCUUGACGGAGCAAAGCCGCGUGAGUGAUGAAGGUCUUCUGCUCGUAAAGCUAUGUUAUUAGGGAAGAACAAAUGUGUAAGUACCUAUGCACGUAUUGACGGUACCUAGUCAGAAAGCCACGGCUAACUACGUG
rnacentral:rRNA from 1 species